rnacentral:piRNA from 1 species
UGGGAAGGAUGAUAGCAGAUAUGGGCAGA